rnacentral:lncRNA from 1 species
GGGAAAAACACAGUGUGGGAAAUUCUGUGCUAAAAACACUGGUGGUGAAGGCUAGAGCUUGGCAGGCAAGCCUGUAAAACAUUGGAUCCCCGUGGGUUCCAGUUGGCUUCUACCUUCUGGCAUUGGCUGGAGCUACAGCUGGGGCAAGUGUGCUGCUGCAGCCAACGGUUUCCUCUUCUGAACAGUUCAACCUGCAUUUGACACGAAUGUUUAUGAACCGUGCAGUUGAUCACAAAACGGUUAAUUGCUGUGAUUUUAAAUAUGUGUUAGGAGAAAUAAUGUGGAAGGAUGUAUAAAGUGACAGCAGGAUGAAAAAAAUAAAUUGAAAGCUGUUGCACACACAAGUGAGAACAUAGCGGUUCAAGUUUGUUGUGAACAAAGACGUUUCUCUGUCGGGGUUGCACUCAACAUUUGUAAGUUUCUCUGUUUAAUUGUUCAUAAACAAGUUUCACUGGAAACGAUGCAAGUCCCGAUGGUUUAGCGUCACUGCUCGUACUGAAUUUCAUCCUAAGAAGAAUAUCUGCCCCUCCAAAAUGAGCAGCGCUUCUAUGUUAGUGCCCUUUGCAUGUACCUUCCUUACAGAUUCUCUUUUUCAGUUGCUCUCAUCAGAUUUGGAAAAGAAAGAUGGCAAUUAACCUCACUCCCCUGAAAAUUAUGAGCUUCCUUCUCCCUGUUCCACCCUGAGUCUCAAAACAGGAUGCAUCUUGCUGCAUUGAAGUGACUGCCGUGGUACUGCUCGUUACUCAUCCCUUUGUAAAUGAUGUAAUUGUUUUGGGUGUUUUGCCAUAAAGUGCUGUUAACUCUGUCAACUUUGUUUGUAUAAGUGAAUGCAGAUACACCGAUCACUGUGCGUGACAGAUUCAGCUGCUCCGCUUUGCCUUGACAUGCAGUGUUGGAACCAAAGGUACUUGGAGCUGGGGGCGGGUGUGUUCUGGGACAGCAGGCUGGAGGCUGUGUGCUGCUCUGAUACAAUCACACAGCGUAAGGAUACAUCCGGGUACUGUAUCGUUUGGAAAUAACGCAGCCAUACGAAAUAAAUGGUUAUUUUGCAAAAA